UAUAAGUAUAAUCUAUAUAAUAAUGGU
rnacentral:piRNA from 1 species